rnacentral:autocatalytically_spliced_intron from 1 species
GGUAGCCGGAUGCGGGAAUUCCGCACGUCCGGAUCUGUGCGGGGGCGCUCAGUAAUGAGCGUCCCUACCGCGAA